GAUGAACGCUAGCGGCAGGCCUAACACAUGCAAGUCGAGCGCGAAAGUUCCUUUGGGAAUGAGUAGAGCGGCGGACGGGUGAGUAACGCGUAGGAAUUUGCCCAGUAGUGGGGGACAACUUGGGGAAACUCGAGCUAAUACCGCAUACGCCCCAAGGGGGAAAGCAGGGGAUUUUUGGACCUUGCGCUAUUGGAUAAGCCUGCGUUGGAUUAGCUAGUUGGUGGGGUAAGGGCCUACCAAGGCAACGAUCCGUAGCUGGUUUGAGAGGAUGAUCAGCCCCACUGGGACUGAGACACGGCCCCGACUCCUUCGGGAGGCAGCAGUGGGGAAUAUUGGACAAUGGGGGCAACCCUGAUCCAGCCCUGCCGCGUGUGUGAAGAAGGCCUUAGGGUUGUAAAGCACUUUCAGUGGGGAGGAAAAGCUGGCGGGUAAUAUCCGUUGGCCCUGACGUUACCCACAGAAGAAGCACCGGCAAACUCCGUG
rnacentral:rRNA from 1 species